rnacentral:rRNA from 1 species
UACGAGGGGGCGAGCGUUUGUUCGAAUUGAUGGCGUAAAGGGUGCGUAGGCGGCGCGGUAAGUCGGGUGUGAAAUCUUGGAGCUUAACUCCGAAACUGCAUUCGAUACUGGCGUGCUUGAGGACUGGAGAGGAGACUGGAAUUUACGGUGUAGCGGUGAAAUGCGUAGAUAUCGUAAGGAAGACCAGUGGCGAAGGCGGGUCUCUGGACAGUUCCUGACGCUGAGGCACGAAGGCCAGGGAGCAAACGGG